rnacentral:tRNA from 1 species
AGGGACAUAGUUCAACGGCAGAAUAGCGGUCUCCAAAACCGUUGAUGGGGGUUCGAAUCCCUCUGUCCCUG